rnacentral:lncRNA from 1 species
AAUUGCAAAAUCAUUAAUUGCUCUUCUCUUUAAAGUUUCGUUCCAGCUUUGAUACUCCAUCAUUAAUUUCUUUUCUUUUGUUCAUUAUCGUAGCAUAGGAUGAAUAAUAAAUUAAUUGUUGCUAGUUUAAAUUUAGUCAUGAUAUGUUCUUUUCGAUUUUAAUAAUUUAAUUGUAGUGUUAGGCUUAGCAUUUUAUUUUACUUUAAUGUUUUUUAUUUUAUUCGGUUGUGUUUAAUUUUUAUGAAUUUAAUUUAAUUUAAUUUUUCUUGCAAAAACAAUUUCAAACCCCCCUGUGUUAGACCUAAUUCUGAACUGCAGUUGGUCCUUGAGAGACGACCUAGGGAUCACUCCCUAGCUAUACUGCAUUUCUUUAUGCUCAUUAAAUUUGCAUGGGGUGCGACACCCAUCAAAAUUUUGGCGCCGUUGCCGGGGACCAACGGUUCGGUUUUAGGUCUUUUGUUGUGUUAGUGUGUGUUGUGUUUUGUGAGUUCGUCAUUGUGUGUUGCAUUUAGGUAGCUUUAGUUGCAUAUUUUCAUUGCAUUCUUAUUUUCCCCCUUUUUCUAUAUGUCUACCUAUUUUGAUUCUGUGAAUAAUGCUUAUUCUGUCAGUGCCUAUGAUUAUGAUUCUCCUUCUGGAUGUUACUCUGAUGAUUGU